CACGUAGGGCGCAAGCGUUGUCCGGAAUUAUUGGGCGUAAAGAGCUCGUUAGGCGGUCUGUUGCGUCCGCUGUGAAAACUCGGGGCUUAACCCCGAGCCUGCAGUGGAUACGGGCAGACUAGAGGUAGGUAGGGGAGACUGGAAUUUACGGUGUAGCGGUGAAAUGACGUAGAUAUCGUAAGGAAGACCAGUGGCGAAGGCGGGUCUCUGGACAGUUCCUGACGCUGAGGCACGAAGGCCAGGGGAGGCAAACGGG
rnacentral:rRNA from 1 species